rnacentral:rRNA from 1 species
GCUCUUACGGGGGGCAGCAGUGGGGGAUAUUGCACAAUGGGGGGAACCCUGAUGCAGCGACGCCGCGUGGGUGAAGAAGCGCUUCGGCGCGUAAAGCCCUGUCAGCAGGGAGGAAAAUGACGGUACCUGAAGAAGAAGCCCCGGCUAACUACGUGCCAGCAGCCGCGGUAAUACGUAGGGGGCAAGCGUUAUCCGGAUUUACUAGGUGUAAAGGGGGCGCAGACGGCGAUGCAAGCGAGGAGUGAAAGCCCGGGGCCCAACCCCGGGGCUGCUCUUGGAACUGCGUGGCGAGAGUGCAGGAGGGG